UUGGGGAAUAUUGGACAAUGGGCGAAAGCCUGAUCCAGCCAUGCCGCGUGUGUGAAGAAGGUCUUCGGAUUGUAAAGCACUUUAAGUUGGGAGGAAGGGCAGUAAGUUAAUACCUUGCUGUUUUGACGUUACCGACAGAAUAAGCACCGGCUAACUUCGUGCCAGCAGCCGCGGUAAUACGAAGGGUGCAAGCGUUAAUCGGAAUUACUGGGCGUAAAGCGCGCGUAGGUGGUUUUGUAAGUUGGAGGUGAAAUCCCCGGGCUCAACCUGGGAACUGCCUCCAAAACUGCAUGACUAGAGUACGGUAGAGGGUAGUGGAAUUUCCUGUGUAGCGGUGAAAUGCGUAGAUAUAGGAAGGAACACCAGUGGCGAAGGCGACUACCUGGACUGAUACUGACACUGAGGUGCGAAAGCGUGGGGAGCAAACAGGAUUAGAAACCCCAGUAGUCC
rnacentral:rRNA from 1 species